UGAUAAGACUCAGUUCGGUUAGUGACGCCAAAAGCGACAGUUUGCAAGUUUGAUUUGUGCCUUACAGACCCCUGUGGGGUAACAACGUUACAAAAAAUGAUCUGAAGAGAAAUACGAAACCCAUCGACAGAGAUUGAUCGUGAAGCAAGGCCUCUCGAGCAUCAGUGACGAGGAUUUGAGCGAAAAUGAAACAGAGUAUUAUCUCGAGGAAGUGAGUUCUCAUAAAUCGGAUGAGGACGUUGAUGAAGGUGAGGGAGAAGAAAUUAGUGGCAGCGAGCAGGAUGGAACAGGGACUUCACGCGGCAGAAAGAGAACUCGAAAAUCAAAGCAGCUUUCUGAGUCAUCGCAGGACUUAGACAGUGAGUCCGACAAUCAG